rnacentral:rRNA from 1 species
UACGUAGGGGGCAAGCGUUGUCCGGAAUCAUUGGGCGUAAAGAGCGUGUAGGCGGCCCGGUAAGUCCGCUGUGAAAGUCCAGGGCUCAACCCUGGGAUGCCGGUGGAUACUGUCGGGCUCGAGUCCGGAAGAGGAGUGUGGAAUUCCUGGUGUAGCGGUGAAAUGCGCAGAUAUCAGGAGGAACACCAAUGGCGAAGGCAGCACUCUGGGACGUGACUGACGCUGAGACGCGAAAGCGUGGGGAGGCAAACAGG